UUGAACGCUGGCGGCAGGCCUAACACAUGCAAGUCGAGCGGUUGAGAGUAGCUCGCUACUUGAUGCAGCGGCGGACGGGUGAGUAACGCGUGGGAAUCUGCCCAGUAGUGGGGGACAACAGCCGGAAACGGCUGCUAAUACCGCAUACGCCCUACGGGGGAAAGGGGGGGAUCUUCGGACCUCUCGCUAUUGGAUGAGCCCGCGUCGGAUUAGCUAGUUGGUAGGGUAAAGGCCUACCAAGGCUACGAUCCGUAACUGGUCUGAGAGGAUGAUCAGUCACACUGGAACGGAGACACGGUCCAGACUCCUACGGGAGGCAGCAGUGGGGAAUAUUGGACAAUGGGGGAAACCCUGAUCCAGCCAUGCCGCGUGUGUGAAGAAGGCCUUGGGGUUGUAAAGCACUUUCAGUGGGGAGAAAGGUUUGUCACCUAAUACGUGAUGAAAUUGAUGUUACCCACAGAAGAAGCACCGGCUAACUCCGUGCCAGCCGCCGCGGUAAGAC
rnacentral:rRNA from 1 species